CCUGACUUGUGUCUGCUAGGCAGGCUGGGAAAAUAAUAAGGAAUGGCCAGGAAGAAAAAUCACUUUGCAACAACCAGACGCACAGAGCCUGAGAUGGCAGAAAUUUACAGCACCUUCUCCUUGGGCCUGGGACACGAUGACUCCAUGCAGUGCAAGCAUCCUGCCCUUCAGGAGUCUGUUUCACAUCCCCAGGCAGAUGCACGGCAUCAUCAGCCUAAGAACCUGGCAGUCAACAUGGAAAACAGGGUAUGGGGCUAGAGUCAGAGACCCAGGACAUCUUCAUCCCCAGGAUUUGUGGCAAAAUCUUCUUAUGAAGAGUGUGGAGGAGGAAAAUGAAGCCAUGCAGUGUGUGUCUUUGAGGAUUCCUGUUAGAGAAGGAGAAAGUGUGAAGAUGCCGAUUUGAAAAAGUAACGUGAGAAUAAUGGAAGCCGGAUCCAUAAAUGACAUUCUUGCUCUGUUGACAUCAGCACAGUUGACAUCAGCAGCCUGAAUUUCACCCAGAAGCCUGAAAAAUAUGGGAACAAAUAGCUCUGAGCAAGACCAGCUUAAACUGAAAGUGAAUAAAAGGGUUCUGCAGUAUGUGAAACACUUGUUAUUACAGCAAUGAUGACACUGAAGAAGUAACAAGGCUCUACAACAUAGAAAGUUGUGUCAAUAGGUAUGUGAAUUAAAGGGUGGGAGGGGCGCUAGCAGUAAGAAGUUCGUAAACCUGACAGUUUACAGUAACUUUGACUUCCUCUAUACAAAUUUUUUCUGUUUUGAAGUUUGCAGAUUAAAAAUGUAAAGGGAUGCCUUGGUUAUGGGAACAUUCCCCCUCCCCAGACAGUAUCUGAUAGGCUUGUUACCAGCAAACCAAAGGUUUGUGUGAAAACAUAUUUAUGCUUGUGGCUCGAUGUAUGCUGUUAUUCAGCUCACAAAUCUUAAUAACAUCUUAACAUAGUCCCUUGUCAAAGAAUCUAUGUUUAUUUUAGAAAACUGACCUGAAACAUAAUUUUGCAAGGGGAACCUUCAGAGUUCUCUGCAGGAACAUGAUUUGUGCAUAUUGAAUCCUACCAGCAUUUGAGGAUGAAGAUGCUUUGGUUCCUUGUCUACCAGCAGUUUGCUUGAGCUCUGAAGGAGCAAAUUAUUGGUGCAGUAAAGAGGUAUUCCCAGAGGCAAGAACUACGGGUGCUAUGGCAUAACAGGACCUCUACCACAGAGUCUAUGGACAGCCUGUCUGUGUCCUGGUCUAGAAAGGAUGCAGAGAUGACCAGUCCUUUCCUGAACUACACAACAUCUUUCAUGUUGUCUAACAACUGCAGGUAGAAGUGGGGAAAAAGCAGUGGACCUAUGUUACUUCAGUGAGUCAAGUUUCAUGUCUAGUGCUUCAGGGACGUAAAGUGGGAAAACUGCUGCUUAUGUCUAGUCUCUGAAUGCUUCCUAUAGCUAGCGUUCUCUACCUUGCACUAAUAUCCAUGUGGGAAAACUCAGAGGCCUGAGAGACUGUAUUUCUUCCUAUGAAAUCACCAAGAGCUCAGUUAAAUGUUUUCAGGCCUACGACUUUCAGUAAUGUUACUAAAUCACAGCCUCCACACAGAAACCUUAAAGUGACAGGCUUCAAAAUCUGAGCAAAGGGAAGUCUGAGUAUUGGCAAACGGCUGGAAGAUUUCCUUGUGUUUACUGCACUGAUUACACAGACUCUUAAUGCUUAGAAUUUUUGUAGGAGAUAAGUGGCAGUAGGCUCUCCGUUUGGAGGAAACACAUUAAAAAUAAUGUUUCAUAGCAGAAAUACCAGAUUCUCAUCAGAAUGGAAUGACUGAGGGGGAAAUGGCAGUUAGGGUCACUGCAUAAAUGGCAGCGACCAUAGAAUGACAUAAAUGAAAACCUUUGCUUCACUUUUGAAAUCAUAAAGUAAAAAAUUUCUUCAUAGAGUGUUCAUUCCAAUGGUGGCUUUUUUUUUGUUCUUGUUGUUUUCUCAUGAAACACAAUAAAAGUGGAAAGAAUUUCUAACAGUUUCAGUAUGGGCUGCAUGCCUAGGUCUCGGUGAUUAGUACCAACUUCAAAGAUCAUGUUACCAGCCUUUCCCUAUCCCUACAAUUUGAUUACUGUAUUGGGCUGUUACCUUAAAUCAUAUGCCAGGAUUUGAAAGCCUUUUUUGCCUACUGCAUAGUUUGUGGUAUCUUGAAGUUCCUCUGCUGUCCUUAUAUUAUUGUCCAUGGUAUCAUUAUUGAUGAAAUAAUGGUAUCAGAAAUGUAUACUUACAUUUUUGGAAACAAAAAUUCCUGGAAAUAGUCUAUUCUCCAAAACACCAUAUAAAAUAG